rnacentral:rRNA from 1 species
GAUGAACGCUGGCGGCGUGCUUAACACAUGCAAGUCGAACGGAAAGGCCCAAGCUUGCUUGGGUACUCGAGUGGCGAACGGGUGAGUAACACGUGGGUGAUCUGCCCUGCACUUCGGGAUAAGCCUGGGAAACUGGGUCUAAUACCGGAUAGGACCACAUUUUGGAUGGUGUGGUGGAAAGUUUUUCGGUGUGGGAUGAGCUCGCGGCCUAUCAGCUUGUUGGUGGGGUAAUGGCGUACCAAGGCGUCGACGGGUAGCCGGCCUGAGAGGGUGUACGGCCACAUUGGGACUGAGAUACGGGCCAGACUCCUACGGGGGGCAGCAGUGGGGAAUAUUGCACAAUGGGCGCAAGCCUGAUGCAGCGACGCCGCGUGGGGGAUGACGGCCUUCGGGUGGUAAACACCUUUCGCUAGGGACGAAGCGUUUUUGUGACGGUACCUGGAGAAGAAGCACCGGCUAACUACGUG